UACAGAGGUCUCAAGCGUUGUUCGGAUUCAUUGGGCGUAAAGGGCGCGUAGGCGGCGCAACAAGUCACUUGUGAAAUCUCCGGGCUUAACCCGGAGCGGUCAAGUGAUACUGUCGUGCUAGAGUGCGGAAGGGGCUACUGGAAUUCUCGGUGUAGCGGUGAAAUGCGUAGAUAUCGAGAGGAACACCUGCGGCGAAGGCGGGUAGCUGGGCCGAACACGUGACGCUGAUGCGCGAAAGCCAGGGGAGCGAACGGG
rnacentral:rRNA from 1 species